rnacentral:ribozyme from 1 species
AGAUUGAUCCUCUACAUUAGAGGUGAGAAGUUGAUGAGGGAAACAUCUCAGGUAUCUGAGAGCAUAUUAACUCAU